rnacentral:rRNA from 1 species
UACGUAGGGUGCAAGCGUUGCCCGGAUUUAUUGGGCGUAAAGGGCGCGCAGGCGGCUACGCACGUCCGUUGUGAAAUCGCUCGGCUCAACUGAGCGGGGUCGGCGGAUACGGCGUAGCUGGAGCAAGCUAGGGGGCAAUGGAAUUCCCGGUGUAGUGGUGGAAUGCGUAGAUAUCGGGAGGAACACCAGUGGCGAAGGCGGUUGCCUGGAGCUUUGCUAACGCUGAGGCGCGAAAGCGUGGGGAGCGAUCCGG